rnacentral:rRNA from 1 species
UACGUAGGGGGGCAAGCGUUGUCCGGAUUUAUUGGGCGUAAAGAGCGUGUAGGCGGCCAUACAGGUCAGCUGUGAAAACUCGAGGCUCAACCUCGAGACGUCGGUUGAAACCGUGUGGCUAGAGUCCGGAAGAGGAGAGUGGAAGUUCCCGGUGUAGCGGUGAAAUGCGCAGGAUAAUCGGGAAGAACACCCGUGGCGAAGGCGGCUCUCUGGGACGGUACUGACGCUGAGACGCGAAAGCGUGGGGAGCAACAGGAUAGAA